rnacentral:rRNA from 1 species
CCCGUAACUUCGGGAGAAGGGGGACCACUGCUGGUGACAGACUGAUUGAGCUGGUGGUGGUCGCAGAGAAUAGAGGGAAGCGACUGUUUAUUAAAAACACAGGUCCGUGCGAAAACGUGGAAGUUGAUGUAUACGGACUGACGCCUGCCCGGUGCUGGAAGGUUAAGAGGAGGUGUGCAAGCACCGAAUUGAAGCCCCAGUAAACGGCGGCCGUAACGAUAACGGUCCUAAG